AUUGAACGCUGGCGGCAGGCCUAACACAUGCAAGUCGAGCGGAGCGGCGGACGGGUGAGUAAUGCCUAGGAAUCUGCCUGGGAGUGGGGGAUAACGUCCGGAAACGGGCGCUAAUACCGCAUACUAUCAGAUGAGCCUGGGUCGGAUUAGCCAGUUGGUGGGGUAAAGGCCUACCAAGGCGACGAACCGUAACUGGUCUGGGAGGAUGAUCAGUCACACUGGAACUGAGACACGGUCCAGCUUCUUACGCGAGGCCGCAGUGGGGAAUAUUGCGCAAUGGGCGAAAGCCUGAUCCAGCCAUGCCGCGUGUGUGAAGAAGGUCUUCGGAUUGUAAAGCACUUUAAGUUGGGAGGCGUUAGCAACAGAAUAAGCACCGGCUAACUGCGUGCCAGCAGCCGCGGUAAUUC
rnacentral:rRNA from 1 species